UCUAUUCGUAGGUUUCGGACUAACUGUUAUAUUUAUUUCACCGAGGAGGGUGGUGCACUACAAAAUUGCAAUAUGCUCUUCCUUCAUGGAUACUAGCAGCGGAACAUCUAUUGAGAACUCAGCAGCUAACCGGCGCGCCUGCUGAUCCCACCAGCGUUUCCGGAACGCUAUGAAAUGCGGAAGAAAAAUGAUUCCCACCGAAUCAGCAGCAUACGUAUUGGGAAUCUUUUCCGAAAGGGCCAGUAUCGCAGCAGUGUAAUCAUCCGGUAAACCAGCAGCAGCAGUCCCACUGAUCUACCCGGAGUUUCUGGGACGCAAUGGAAUGCACGAAGACAAAGAUGACCGACCGAAUCCGGACCGAAUCAGGACGCGCUGAACUUGUCCCGUAUAGGUACCAUUUACAUAAGUCUUUUUCGGUGCGGAACUCGGCGCAGACCUGUGCCUAGCAAUGCGCUUCGGAAGCAGAGGGAAACCGGAAGCAGCAGCCCUUGUUGGCCCCCAUAACCGUCCAUGUAAUGGACGCAUCAUCAACAGAACUGGCAAGCAACAGCCGUGGAACCAGAUGAAAGUCACCACCAUCCUACAUGAUCUCCGCAACGAGUUGUUCCCAACCGUGCAGCAGGCAGGAAUGCUAACGGGCCAUAUGUUGCAUCGGCAGCGUAUUGGCAUAACAUAACGCG